UACAAUAAAGUUGCUUAUUUUUGUUCCAUAAGGAUAGUUCGAUGGGUUUCGUCUUGACUUAUUGUAAGAGCAAGAAUGGAGUAAUACACAAGGUGUAGCUUGCUGCACGAGGAGGAAAAGAGAUUAUGUUACAAGGUAAAGUAAAAUGGUUCAACGCUGAAAAAGGUUUCGGUUUCAUCGAAGUUGAAGGACAAGACGAUGUAUUCGUACACUUCUCAGCUAUCCAAGGCGAAGGCUUCAAAACUUUAGAAGAAGGCCAAGAAGUUACAUUUGAAAUCGUUGAAGGUGCUCGUGGACCACAAGCUGCUAACGUUCAAAAGUAAUUCUUUUUAUAGGAUUAUCAGGGGCUCCCAAAUGGGGGCCUUUUUUCU
rnacentral:other from 1 species